rnacentral:sRNA from 1 species
UGAUUUUACGAUAGUGAGUGCUGGACC